CACGCAGGCUCAUUUGAAAAUGUGGAUUAUUUCCUGAGAGGCUGCAAUGGCUCCUCUAGGUAAACACUAGCUCAGGGCACUCUCUCUAGAGCAGUUUUUUGACCUGGUGGACCUUGGCUGGCAGGCAGGCGUGUGUGCCCGGGCAGCGAGCCGACGGGCUGGGCUUCGCUGGGAGGACAGCAAGCCCCAGGCUGGGAGCAACGUCUUGUUUCAUCAAAUAAUGUGUCUCCCCCUUCCCACCCUGCUCCUCACUUCUUUUUCAUUUCCCUUCAGAGGAGACAAAGGUAAUUUUCCAAGCAAGGAACUAACAACUGAUCCCUCUGGCUGUAGGAGAAGAGACCUGUGUGGGGAUUUGCCCUUUGAGGAAGGUGAAGGGUGCAGCUGGAGUUCAAAACCAUCCGGAUUUGGGCUUUAUCUCAUUCUCUCCGGGCCUACGAAGGCACAAGAAAUCUGGAGAAGAUUCUUGCCUUGGCAUUGCUGGCUGCUGUUCUGAGCUGCCCACAGAUUGUGCAAACCCUUAAGCAGGAUGCUGCACCCUCCACUGACCAGGAAAAGGUAGGAAAGAAACCUCUCAAGACAUUCCUCUGCAUGAGGAGAGUGGUUAGGAGGACAGCAACACACAUCUCAAUGGGCUGUUCA
ensembl:lncRNA